AGAUCUGCUCUCUUCGCAAGAAGAGGGUUUCCAUACACACCGUGAACUGUGGCUUCGGCCAUCACAAACUGUUAGUAAUGAAUGUAAUAUCAUAACAAAAACAAAACUUUUAACAACGGAUCUCUUGGCUCUCGCAUCGAUGAAGAACGCAGCGAAAUGCGAUAAGUAAUGUGAAUUGCAGAAUUCAGUGAAUCAUCGAAUCUUUGAACGCACCUUGCGCCCUUUGGUAUUCCGAAGGGCAUGCCUGUUUGAGUGUCAUGAAACCUCACCCCACUUAGGUUUUUGCCUAAGCGGUGGUGUAUUGGGUGUUGCCUUGCUAAAGGCUCGCCUUAAAGACAUAAGCACCUUGGAUGUAAUACGUUUCAUCCUUCUGGGUGGCUGAUAACCCCACAUAUUCAUGAUCUGGCCUCAAAUCAGGUAGGGCUACCCGCUGAACUUAAGCAUAUCAAUAAGCGGAGGAAAAGAAACUAACUAGGAUUCCCUUAGUAACGGCGAGUGAACCGGGAUGAGCUCAAAUUUAAAAUCUGGCGUCUUUCAGGCGUCCGAGUUGUAAUCUAUAGAGGCGUUUUCCGCGCCGGACCGCGUCCAAGUCUCUUGGAAUAGAGUAUCAAAGAGGGUGACAAUCCCGUACUUGACGCGACAACCGGUGCUCUGUGAUACGUUCUCAAUGAGUCGAGUUGUUUGGGAAUGCAGCUCU
rnacentral:rRNA from 1 species